UGGUCUCCUUCCCAGGAUGAGGUACUGUCUAUGAAAUCAAAUGACAAUUUGAACUUCUGCUUUUCCGCAUGUGCCUUGAGGAUGUUUUUUGUAGGAAAUCUGCUCGAAGAAGAAUUCCGGUUUGAAAAGAACGACAGGAUAUCGCAAAUAUGCUGCCCGUUGCUUUGCUCUUGUUAGUACCUAUUGUCCUGUAUCACUGUACUUGCAUACAUACAUUGUUCAUUAUGUGACAGCAGUAUGCAUGAUAGCUUGCUUAUCAAUUGUUCGCUCCAAAUUAUCUGAUCUGUAUGAAUGGUUACAUUAGUGUAGAAUAUAUCCAAUGCCAAUGA
rnacentral:lncRNA from 1 species